CCCAGAUGUGCUGGGGACACUGCAGACACGGGCGUCCAUUUUAUCACCGUCCACCAACUGUCAAAAUGACAAACGUCUGGACAACACGUGAUGAAGCAGGGGGAAUAGGGUCGGAGCUAUUGCUUGUUGUUGUUGUAUUCAGAUGCAUUAUAACCGACUGAACAAAUGUUGAUUCCCUUGGUCCUUAAACAAGCAUUUAGGCCUACACAACAAGCAGUAGGUCUACACUCGGUAGUCCUUAACACCGGUUGGGCUGUACAUACAUGACAUGACAUUUAUACUCAACGAAAAUAAUGAAAUUAAUACAAAAUCCAUGAAGCAAUAAUUGCUGAAUGUGUCUUCUCAUAAAUGUAAAUGAUGGGAACAUGUUUUUCAAAUGAGUUGAUAGGUUGUCCUUGACAGGGCACCAGAGAACAAACAGAAUAUAUGAAAAAUAAUCAACGGACCAAUGAACACAAAAGUUUGUAGCCAACCUUAUUGGUGAGGUUAAUUAUAUAAUAAUACGACUAUUUUAAAGCUCUUGCAUUUAUUUUUUUUCUUGUUCUACCAAACACCAUAUUCUGUUAUGCUUUUGAUAUAUAGGCUACAAAUGUAACUGAGAUGUACUUUCAACUGUGC
ensembl:lncRNA